rnacentral:lncRNA from 1 species
GCUGCAUUUGUUUGCACGUGGAUAUUUUUUGCAUAAGUACAAAGUAUUGAACAAACCAAAGCACUUUAUCAUACCUCAUAGGCCAUGGUUUUUGCUGGACCAAAGAAAAACAAAUCCAACCCAGGAACUGCUUAGCCAGUCACUUGUAUAGUAGCGACAAAGAACUGAUUUGAGACCAGGAAUCAGCUUGAAUCUAGG